AUGGAAGAAGCAUCAAACUUUCACCAACUUUUCCCCAAAAAGCAUGUGAAGAUAGAGAAAGAGCAAGAAUCUGUUGCCCGGAAAGACUACCCUUAAAGGAUAUUCACAGCAUAAGCCUCAAGCAUAUGCUUUUGAGUUUAUUCCAUGUCCUGAGCUUAAGUUGAAGAGCUUAUAAAUUGUAAUGUUCAUGGAACGUUGUGUGCAGCAGCAACAAGAGCUGAGCUCGCACAUGAUAUAGUGAAUAAGCAAAACAGCUAUAGGGCUUCUCUUUAUUGGCAGGAAAUUAUCAUGACCACUUCAUCAGAUAUCUUGCCAAAGGAGAGUUGCCCUGUUGCUACUUUAGCUUAAUAUAUUCUGAAGCAGACCCAGAAAUGGAUUGGCUGAGAGAGCAGUGAAACAAGAUUAAUGAAUGGGGAUUUUCCUUUAAAGUAUUUACUGUUGUCUGUUGAAGAUACAUUCGAUAAUGUGAAACUGAUUUAUUGCAUACAAAGAAGCAAACAAC